rnacentral:rRNA from 1 species
ACCCGUUGAUCCUGCGGGAGGGUGCUGCUAUUAGGAUUCGAUUAAGGCAUGCAAGUCCAACUCUCACGAGUGGCAAAAUGCUCAGUAACACGUCAAUAAUUUGCCCUUAGGUCUGGAAUAACCUCGGGAAACUGAGGCUAAAACCGGAUAAGGUAAUAGUACUGGAAGGUCGUUACUUUAAAAGUAAUGCCUAAGGAUAAGUUGGCGGUCGAUUAGGUUGUUGGUGAGGUAAAGGCUCACCAAGCCAAAGAUCGGUAGGGGCCCUGAAAGGGGUAGCCCCGAGAAGGGCACUGAGAUACUGGCCCUAGCCCUACGGGGUGCAGCAGCCGCGAAACCUUUACAAUGCACGAAAGUGUGAUAAGGGAAUCCUAAGUGCUUAUGCUUUGCAUAGGCUUUUGCCAAAUGUAAAUAGUUUGGAGAAUAAGUGGUGGGCAAGACUGGUGCCAGCCGCCGCGGUAACACCAGCGUCCACGAGUGGCAUCCACAUUUAUUGGGCCUAAAGCGUCCGUAGCCGGUCAAGUAGAUUCUUUGUGAAAUUGUUAGGCUUAACCUAACAACGUGCAGAGGAGACCGCUAGACUCGGAACCGGGAGGGGUUAGAGGUAUUCCAGGGGGAGCGGUAAAAUGUUAUAAUCCCUAGAGGACCACCUGUGGCGAAGGCGUCUAACCAGAACGGAUUCGACGGUGAGGGACGAAAGCCAGGGGAGCAAUCCGGAUUAGAUACCCGAGUAGUCCUGGCUGUAAACUCUGCGAGCUAGGUGUUGCAUAUUCUUCGAGAAUGUGCAGUGUCGAAGCGAAGGUGUUAAGCUCGCCGCCUGGGAAGUAUGGUCGCAAGACUGAAUCUUAAAGGAAUUGGCGGGGGAGCACUACAAGGGGUGCGGCGUGCGGUUUAAUCUAAUUCAACGCAGAGAAUCUCACCAGAUGCGACGGCAGGAUGAAGGUCAGUCUGAAUGGUUUACCUGACGAGCCGAGAGGUAGUGCAUGGCCGCCGUCAGCUCGUGCCGUAAGGUGUCCUGUUAAGUCAGGCAACGAGCGAGACCUGUGCCUACAAUUGCUAACGAGUCUUUCGAGAUGAUCGAGCACAUUGUGGGAACUGCCUCUGAAAAGGGGAGGAAGGUGCAGGCUACGGUAGGUCUGUAUGCUCCGAAUCUUCUGGGCUACACGCGCGCAACAAUGGUAGGAACAAUGGGCUACAACCCUGAAAAGGGAAGUUAAUCCUCUAAAUCCUAUCCAAGUCCAGAUUGAGGAUUGUAACUCAUCCUCAUGACGAUGGAAUCCCUAGUAAUCGGAGUUUAUCAUACUCCGGUGAAUAUGUCCCUGCUCCUUGCACACACCGCCCGUCAAGCCACCCGAGUAGGGUUUAGAUGAGGCCUUAUUUUAAAUAAGUUCGAAUCUAAACUCAGCGAGGAGGGCUAAGUCGUCACAAGGUA